rnacentral:rRNA from 1 species
UACGUAGGGGGCGAGCGUUGUCCGGAUUUACUGGGCGUAAAGCGCGUGUAGGCGGUUGAUCAAGUCGGGUGUGAAAUGCUGCAGCUUAACUGCGGCACUGCGCUCGAAACUGGUUGACUGGAGUUUGGCAGGGGUAACCGGAAUUCCUGGUGUAACGGUGAAAUGUGUAGAUAUCAGGAGGAACAUCUGUGGCGAAGGCGGGUUACUGGGCCAAAACUGACGCUGAGACGCGAAAGCGUGGGGAGCAAACAGGAUUAGAUACCCUGGUAGUCCACGCUGUAAACGAUGAGUGCUAGGUGUUGGGGGUAUCGACUCCCUCAUUGCCGCAGCUAACGCAUUAAGCACUCCGCCUGGGGAGUACGGUCGCAAGAUUAAA